rnacentral:misc_RNA from 1 species
UGGUUCUCGCAUCGAUGAAGAACGCAGCGAAAUGCGAUAAGUAAUGUGAAUUGCAGAAUUCAGUGAAUCAUCGAAUCUUUGAACGCACCUUGCGCUCCUUGGUAUUCCGAGGAGCAUGCCUGUUUGAGUGUCAUGAAAUCUUCAACUUACGAGCUUCUUGCGAGGUUUGUAGGGUUGGACUUGGAGGCUUGUCGGUCUUUAAAGGUCGGCUCCUCUUAAAUGCAUUAGCUUGGUUCCUUGCGGAUCGGGUUGUCGGUGUGAUAAUGUCUACGCCGCGACCGUGAAGCGUUUGGCAAGCUUCUAACCGUCUCGGUAUAGAGACAAGUUUUAUGACCUCUGACCUCAAAUCAGGUAGGACUACCCGCUGA